CGUAACCUUACCAGGUCUUGACAUCCCGAUGCUAUUUCUAGAGAUAGAAGUUACUUCGGUACAUCGGUGACAGGUGGUGCAUGGUUGUCGUCAGCUCGUGUCGUGAGAUGUUGGGUUAAGUCCCGCAACGAGCGCAACCCCUAUUGUUAGUUGCCAUCAUUCAGUUGGGCACUCUAGCGAGACUGCCGGUAAUAAACCGGAGGAAGGUGGGGAUGACGUCAAAUCAUCAUGCCCCUUAUGACCUGGGCUACACACGUGCUACAAUGGUUGGUACAACGAGUUGCGAGUCGGUGACGGCGAGCUAAUCUCUUAAAGCCAAUCUCAGUUCGGAUUGUAGGCUGCAACUCGCCUACAUGAAGCCGGAAUCGCUAGUAAUCGCGGAUCAGCACGCCGCGGUGAAUACGUUCCCGGGCCUU
rnacentral:rRNA from 1 species